GCUAGCGGAGCCAGGCCUUCCUCCCCAUUAUGUAGCUGCUUAUAAGAAAAGGCUUCUUAAUACUAUGAAAAAUUCAAAGACGUCAUUGAGUCGUUAUGCAAUUCUGAUUCAACUUAUAACCAUCUAUUGAGAUUUCUGUUUGCUGCUGUGUGCCAUAUGGAUACAAAAUCUGGAUUAUUAUCACUUGAUAAUUUUAAAGCAGCACUAUCAAGUAUUCAACUGCAACCCAAGUUGGAAGCCUUGCAAGAUUGCUCCAUUUUACAGUUAUAUAUUCUUGUUUGCUGGAGGAGGUAGGAAGUCAAAGAGCAAGAGACUACUAACUUCAAUUCAGUAAUGAAAGGUUUGACUACUACAUGAUCCCUUUUGUUAAUAGUGUGAAUCCUGUGUCACUAACCAUGUUCUCAUGCCUUCCCGAGUAUAAAAGCGUGCAUGAAAUUGUACAUGAUUCGACAGAUACCAGCAACAACAACAACAUACCCAGUAUAAUCCCAUCAGGUGGGGUCUGGGGAGAUUUGACAGAUAUCAGUUUAAAAAAAAAAAAAAAGCGAAGAUGAUUCAUUCCCAACAACCGACUAUUAUGCACGGAAUGUAUGCCUCCGGGCAUUUGAACAUCUUUUACAACGCUAAUUGAUAUCCUUGGUUGACAACAGAGGGCAUGGCCAAUCUGUUGAAUUUCGUCCAGUGAGGCUUUUGAUCUUAUCACAUGAACUACAUCAGGGACUGAAAUCAUACCGUUCUUGUCCAAUAAGUUACUUUUAGGAACAAUUAUAUUCUUUUAGUCUGAAAUAUACUCGGGUGGUUGCGGAUAUCAAUAUCAUAAAAAAAAUAAACACACUUUCCAGUCAGUCGGUAUAAGCAAGUAGAGAAUUUUCCUUAAUGCCAUGUUCAUUAUCUAGUACUUCAUAAA